AACGAACGCUGGCGGCAGGCUUAACACAUGCAAGUCGAACGGGUGUAGCAAUACAUCAGUGGCAGACGGGUGAGUAACACGUGGGAACCUUCCUAGGGGUACGGAACAACUCAGGGACACUUGAGCUAAUACCGUAUACGUCCGUGAGGAGAAAGAUUUAUCGCCCUUAGACGGGCCCGCGUCGGAUUAGCUAGUUGGUGGGGUAACGGCCUACCAAGGCGACGAUCCGUAGCUGAUCUUAGAGGAUGAUCAGCCACACUGGGACUGAGACACGGCCCAGACUCCUACGGGAGGCAGCAGUAGGGAAUAUUGGACAAUGGGCGAAAGCCUGAUCCAGCCAUGCCGCGUGAGUGACGAAGGCCUUCGGGUUGUAAAGCUCUUUUGGCGGGGACGAUAAUGACGGUACCCGCAGAAUAAGCUCCGGCUAACUUCGUGCCAGCCGCCGCGGUAAUAC
rnacentral:rRNA from 1 species